rnacentral:RNase_P_RNA from 1 species
UCAGUUACAAUCUAGCAUCUGGGGCACACACAACGAGUAUCUGAUUACUCUUUUUACAACGCCCCGGGAAGGUCUGAGAUAUGGUCAAAGCUCCCUUGUUGCUGUAACAACAUACAAAAGCCGAGAGGUGAUUGUGUGUCGCGGAGCUUCAUUUUCUAGCCGGAAACUUGUGUAAUCACAAGGCGAAAGUACCAGAAAUGCUGCAGUAUGGCUGUUGCCGCACCGCUUGCCGUUUGCCGCCGGCCAUGUUGCAUUGAAAACUUUCGUGACCAGCAAUUUAAGUGCGAUGUGCUUGCUGCAAACCUUGCCUGAGGUGCGCAGAACUCAAUUCAGACUAAUCUGUGACUGA